rnacentral:rRNA from 1 species
AUGUCAAUGAUGAGUGAACUCAAAUUCUUUGUUGGGUUGCAAAUCAAGCAAACUAAGGAAGGUACUUUUGUCUCUCAAACGAAGUACACUAAGGACUUAUUCAAGAAGUUUAAUAUGCAAGAAUGCAAAGGUAUGUCUACACCCAUGCCUACUGGUGGACAUCUUGAUUUGACCAAAGAUGGUGAACCGGUUGAUCAAAAAGUUUAUCGCUCUAUGAUUGGUUCAUUGUUAUACCUAUGUGCUUCACGUCCCGAUAUUAUGCUAAGCGUGUGCAUGUGUGCAAGAUAUCAAGCUGCUCCUAAAGAAUGUCAUCUUAAGGCUGUGAAAAGGAUAGUGAGAUACUUAAUACACACACCAAAUUUUGGCAUUUGGUAUCCUAAGAGGGAAUCUUUCGAUCUUGUUGGCUACUCUGACUCAGAUUAUGACGGAGACAAGGUUGACAGAAAGUCCACUUCGGGAACUUGUCAAUUUCUUGGUAGAUCUCUUGUGUCUUGGUCCUCCAAGAAACAAAACUCGGUAUCCUUAUCUACCGCCGAAGCGGAGUACAUUGCCGCUGGUUCAUGUUGUGCUCAAUUACUUUGGAUGACCCAAACUCUUAAAGAUUAUGGGAUAUAUGUGAAACAUGUUCCAUUGCUUUGUGACAAUGAAAGUGCUAUCAAAAUUGGUCAUAAUCCUGUGCAACAUUCUCGAACUAAGCAUAUUGAAGUUCGCCAUCAUUUCAUUCGAGAUCAUAUUGCUAAGGGUGACAUUGAUCUUAAGCAUGUUCGCACCGAAAAGCAAUUAGCGGAUAUAUUUACUAAACCUCUUGAUGAGAAAGUGUUUUGCAGAUUAAGAGGAGAAUUGAACAUCAUAGAUGCUUCAAACUUGGAGUAG